rnacentral:rRNA from 1 species
CCUACGGGAGGCAGCAGUGAGGAAUAUUGGUCAAUGGGCGCGAGCCUGAACCAGCCAAGUAGCGUGAAGGAUGACUGCCCUACGGGUUGUAAACUUCUUUUAUAAAGGAAUAAAGGGAGGCACGUGAGCCGGUGUGUAGGUAUGUGAUGAAUAAGGAUCGGCUAACUCCGUGCCAGCAGCCGCGGUAAUACGGAGGAUCCGAGCGUUAUCCGGAUGUAUUGGGUUUAAAGGGAGCGUAGAUGGGGUGUUAAGUCCGUGGGGAAAGUUUGCGGCUCAACCGGAAAAUUGCAAUUGAUACGUGCUGCCUUGAGUACUCUUGCGGUCGGCGGCAUGCGUGGUGUAGCGGUGAAAUGCUUCGAUAUCACGAAGAACUCCGAUUGCGAAGGCAGCCUACUCCACUGCCUCUGACGUUGAUGCUCGCAAGUGUGGGUAUCAAACAGGAUUAGAUACCCCUGUAGUC